AAAAAAUUAGUUAAAUAAUAACAUUAGUUUGUCAUACUAAAAUCAUCAAUCAUUGAUAUUUUUUA
rnacentral:tRNA from 1 species